UACGGGGGGGGCAAGCGUUGUUCGGAAUUACUGGGCGUAAAGAGCUCGUAGGCGGUUUGUCGCGUCUGCUGUGAAAGACCGGGGCUCAACUCCGGUUCUGCAGUGGGUACGGGCAGACUAGAGUGUGGUAGGGGAGACUGGAAUUCCUGGUGUAGCGGUGAAAUGCGCAGAUAUCAGGAGGAACACCGAUGGCGAAGGCAGCUCGCUGGGACGUUACUGACGCUGAGACGCGAAAGCUAGGGGAGCGAACGGG
rnacentral:rRNA from 1 species